AAGUCGUAACAAGGUUUCCGUAGGUGAACCUGCGGAAGGAUCAUUACCGAAGUCAAGGCCCCUUCGGGGGCUAAACUUCCACCCUUUGUUUACCUUACCAUUGUUGCUUUGGCGGGCCGCCUUAGGCCACCGGCUCUCGAGCUGGUGCGUGCCCGCCAGAGAUCCCCAAACCCAAACCAUAUUUAGUGUCGUCUGAAAACAAGUUUAAAUUAUUAAAACUUUCAACAACGGAUCUCUUGGCUCUG
rnacentral:misc_RNA from 1 species